GAGAGCAAGAGCCCGGAGAUGGAUUCUGAGACAUGAAUCCAGGCCCUACGGGGCGCAGCAGGCGCGAAAACUUUACAAUGCGGGAAACCGUGAUAAGGGGACACCGAGUGCCAGCAUCAUAUGCUGGCUGUCCGGAUGUGUAAAAUACAUCCGUUAGCAAGGGCCGGGCAAGACCGGUGCCAGCCGCCGCGGUAACACCGGCGGCCCGAGUGGUGAUCGUGAUUAUUGGGUCUAAAGGGUCCGUAGCCGGUUUGGUCAGUCCUCCGGGAAAUCUGAUAGCUCAACUAUUAGGCUUUCGGGGGAUACUGCCAGACUUGGAACCGGGAGAGGUAAGAGGUACUACAGGGGUAGGAGUGAAAUCUUGUAAUCCCUGUGGGACCACCUGUGGCGAAGGCGUCUUACCAGAACGGGUUCGACGGUGAGGGACGAAAGCUGGGGGCACGAACCGGAUUAGAUACCCGGGUAGUCCCAGCCGUAAACGAUGCUCGCUAGGUGUCAGGCAUGGCGCGACCGUGUCUGGUGCCGCAGGGAAGCCGUGAAGCGAGCCACCUGGGAAGUACGGCCGCAAGGCUGAAACUUAAAGGAAUUGGCGGGGGAGCACAACAACGGGUGGAGCCUGCGGUUUAAUUGGACUCAACGCCGGACAACUCACCGGGGGCGACAGCAAUAUGUAGGCCAAGCUGAAGACUUUGCCUGAAUCGCUGAGAGGAGGUGCAUGGCCGUCGCCAGUUCGUACUGUGAAGCAUCCUGUUAAGUCAGGCAACGAGCGAGACCCGUGCCCACUGUUACCAGCAUGUCCUCCGGGACGAUGGGUACUCUGUGGGGACCGCCGAUGUUAAAUCGGAGGAAGGUGCGGGCCACGGUAGGUCAGUAUGCCCCGAAUCUCCCGGGCUACACGCGGGCUACAAUGGAUGGGACAAUGGGUCCCUCCCCUGAAAAGGGCUGGUAAUCUCACAAACCCAUUCGUAGUUCGGAUCGAGGGCUGUAACUCGCCCUCGUGAAGCUGGAAUCCGUAGUAAUCGCGUCAA
rnacentral:rRNA from 1 species